rnacentral:rRNA from 1 species
UACAGAGGGUGCUAGCGUUGUUCGGAAUCAUUGGGCGUAAAGGGCGUGUAGGCGGUUUGUUAAGUCAUGUGUGAAAUCCCUCGGCUCAACCGGGGAACGACGCAUGAAACUGGCAAGCUAGAGUACCAAAGAGGGGGGUGGAAUUCCCGGUGUAGCGGUGAAAUGCGUAGAUAUCGAGAGGAACACCGGCGGCGAAGGCGGCCAACUGGGCGAAUACUGACGCUGAGACUCGAAAGCGUGGGGAGCAAACAGG